UCCUGGGAAGGUUCCUGCUCCCAGCCCGUUCCUGUAGACUGGGAGACAGGGUGUGGGUUGUGAGGGGGAAAGGAGGGGUGGGUGGAGAGUUUCCUGGGGUAGAGAAGAGUAGGGCCCCAUCCUGACACCGACCCCAAUUCCCAAGUUUUCCCACAGCACCAAGUAAUUCUCCCGACAUCAGCUGGAUGUCUGACUAUGUCACUCAGUCCUGGCACCAGCCACCUGCAGACACCGGCACUUCUGACCCGCUGGCUAUGAACCGCACUCCCUGGGGCCACAAAAGACACCUGCACCCCCUCACUGAGGAGAGUCCAAGACUGAGGAGCUCUGCGGGAACUAGAGACCCCACAGUUACUUCCUACUAGAAGUCACGGUAUCACAGGGAGAGACUCCACCUGGCUUCAGCUUCCCGCCCUCACUGAUGCCUGGAGAGAUGCAGCAGGUGAGCCCCCGAAGGUGCAUCAAGUCUCGGGAGAGAGCCCCUUGGACCCCACAGAUCCCAGCGUGAAGACCCUUCUGUGCCACUCUGCGCCCACCAGCCCCAGCCCUUGGCCCGUCUUCUUCCCUCCUGCCGCACCUCCAGGCCUUUGCCCCUUCUCACUGCCAGGGGGUCCUUACCCUCCCUGUCACAGCUUGGCCCCCUUGAAGACCCACUUCCAAGCCUCUCCUCUGCAGUGUUCUCCCGCCCGGAGUUGGGGUUCUGCACAUCUCACCCCGGUUCCAAAGACUCCCCACACCUGAGCUGACUACGGACAAGACUGUCUGCCAUGAAGUCAGCGAGGGACCCUGACCCCUCCUGGGCCCUACAUCUGGAUCCCAGAACCAGAGAGCCGGGGGCAGAGGUCACCGAGUUCCAGAGGCAUGUAGAGAAGCAAGAGCGAAGGAGAUGAGGUCUGACAGGUGGUGGCAGAUGAGCCUGCAGCCCGGGCCAGGAGCCAAGUACGGGAAGACAGAAGAGGCAGGCCUAGAAGUGCCAGGAGCGAACCCCACUGAGCUGGCUGGGGACAGCAGUGACUCAGGCCCCCCAGGCGCUAGUCCAGAAGGCUCCACACCCUGUCUGCUGAUGGUCUGGCCCCUGCCCAGCGGGCCACUCCUGGCACCUCUGGCGAAGGUGGGCAGCCUGCCAGGUCAGGCUGGCUGACAGGGUGGCGCUACAGUGGGGAGUGGGCAACACAGGAGUCUGUUUGCACACACAAGAACCACACUCAUGUGCACACACCCGGCCAUCCCCAUGGUGUCCACCAUCGUCCUCUCCCUCCCCCCAGCACACACACACAAGGUCCCCUGUUCCCUGUUCCCACUGGGUCCCCUUGGCCCAACGCUCCAGUGCAGCCCCCCAUAAGCCCACCACUUUCCCUGCCUGGCAUAGAGCCGUGACCCAGAGUGCUGAGGACUGGACCUUUGACUGGCUGCUGGGAGGGGCCAGGGGCCACUCCACGAGAGCCCAGAACAUCUGGAAUAAUCUAUUCAGAUUCCCUGGGAAGGGCUUUCCUGCCGGGCCACCUGCUCCACCGUAUGACUGCAAGCACCCACUCCCUGGCCUCAUUGAGGUCUUCAGAGUGGUCGUGCGGUUACAAGGCUGGGUGCCGGAUUCAGAUUCAGAUUGGGUUCAAACACCCGCUCUAUCUGCCUGGGAUGCUGGAGCAGGAACCCAAUCUCCCUGAACCUGUUCUCUUUCCUGUAAAAUGAUGACACUAACAGUUUUACUGUGUCAGGACUAUUGGGGGAGCUGCUGCUCACACCACUUAACAGAUGGGCAACAGGCAGAGAGAAGGAACAUGCUUCAGAGGAUACAACUCCUAAGCAGUGGGCCUGGCACUUGAAGCCAGGCGGUCUGCAGGCCCAGUCACCCCAGACACUGCAUUGCUCUCUGCCUGCCCUAUGUCAGUCUGGGCCCGAGAUGUCUGCUUCAGACUUUGGAGAGCCCAUGGCCCCCUAUACAGACCCAGACACAAGGCUUGCCCCACAGGGUGCCAGGAAGCUUGGCCCAGGAUGUGGGCACAGACUACGAGGGGCCGUGCAGGAGGUACACUGCUGCUAGGCUACUGCCAAAAUGAAUGCUGAUGCCCACUGCCACUGCCAGGCUGCCUGGGUGCUGGCAGGGCCUGUGGAAAUGCCUGCCAGCCUGGGGACUUGGGCCAGCUUGAUGCUGCUCAGGGGCUCGGCCAAGCCCAGUUGGGCACCCCAGGCCCACGCAAUGGCACCACCCCCACCCCAGCACAUCCAAUCCCUUCAGGUCAUCCCUAGCUGUACCCAGGCCAAGCUGGCCUAAGAGCAUAUGAACCAUUUGGGGGCUGGGAGAGUCCCUGGUGGAGCCCUGGCCUGGGGUACCCUUCCCCCUAGGGGUGAGGGGACAUGGUGGCCCAGCUUCCAAGUAGAGGAGCAACUUUGAGAGGACAGAGCCCAGGGCAAGGCGACAGCUGGGUGUUGAAAGUGCAAGGCAGCGGCCCAGGAAGUAUGUCGCCUCAAGGGCAGAGCCCAGAGCCAUCAAUAGACCCCCACCCAGCUGCUCAGAGCAGCACCUGCCAGGGUGGGAAUUGAGGGAGGACAGCUGAAGGGGAGGGCAGGAGCCUUUGGGACCUGCAAGUGCACUGAAGUCCCCUCAGGUCACCCUCCUGGCCCUCUAUCUGACAGCUCUUUUGCCCCAUUCCUGCACUGGGACACCUUUGUCAGCACCCCCCAGGCACUUGCACGGUGCAAAGCUGACCUCUAUUAACUCCCUCUCUCCACUCACCUACCAGUUGGUUAAAACCUACCCCAACGUGAAGUAGAGCACGUACAGAAGCGUGCACAAGACAGAAGUGUACAAUUGAACAAAUACCCACAAAAUGAACACCUACAGUAGCUGGCACCAAGAUCGAGGAACAGGACAUAGAACAUAUCCAGCUCCCCAGAAGCACCCAUCACAAUCUCCUCCUCUGUUAGGGUGGCCAUGUGUGUGCUUGGGGCCCUCAUUUCCUUCUUUUCUUAAGUCACAUCAGUCCUGUUCUGUGGCCGCAACCCAAGGGCUUCCCAGGUGAGCGGUGACUGUCUUCCUUGGGAGAGUCUGGGUGCUGCCACCGUGCUGCUGUGGCCGUGGGACACAUGGGGGCGCCCGGGGCUCAGGCCGGCUCUCACCUGAGUGCAGGCAGGACCCGGAACCCCAACGUCUGGGCGGGGCGUUGGGGGGCCUUCCUCCCGGACAGAGCUCCAGGCCAGUUCUUUGGUCUCGGGACGUGCAGACCAGUGCCUCUGCCCCCGUGGUCCCGGGGCGGUGUGGGGUCUCGGUUCCUCUCCUCCAGGAACUUCCUUUUGGUCCAGGCACCUGCUUUGAAAACUGCAAAACACUAUGUAAACGCGGUAAUGUUACUGUUAUUAUUUAACAGUGAGUAAACUCUUACUGUGCGCCUGCUCAGCCUUGA